rnacentral:tRNA from 1 species
AUUCCCGUAGUUCAAGUGAUGGAACAGCGGUCUCCAAAACCGCAGGAUGCAGGUUUGAGCCCUGCCGGGAAUGCCA